GGGAGAAGAGGGGGCUGGAGGCAGGAGGUGGCCCAGUGGCAGCAUAGCAGCCAGACCUGAAGGCAACUGUCCUCACUUGCGCUGUACCUAUCAGCUAACUGGGCUGACCAUGUGGGACCUUGGUGCCUGUGGUGACCAGCAGAACUCCUGGGGCUGGCUCCUUGCACAGCCCUGCAGAUGGGAUGAUGGGGUAGGAUCCUAGUUCAGGCUAUUUUGGCCUUAGACAGUAGAGAAUGCUACAUCAGAGGGCAGAGAGUGAGGAAUCUCCCAGAGUGGUCACCAUGGAUGGGCUUAGGUAUGCAAAGGGUCUCC